ACAGCCUCCCUAUUUUUCACUAUGGUUCCAAGUGUUCUUCAAAAUAUUUUUUGUAAAGCAGCCCACAAGAUCACCUUCUCUCCUCCUUAGUUUCGGAUAUAUUAGAAAGUUAUUCAAGGGGAGUGAAUAUAUAGGUGUUGGCAGCCAAGGUGCUUCCACUAUCUUUCAAAGAUUAAGAGAAGGUCACAAAGAUAGUAAUUGGGGGAAAAUAACAGAUUAAGAUAUCCAAGAGUAACAUUUAAAGGAAAGGCUGAAUUGUCGUAGUCACAUUGGUCGGAAGAUAAGGUAUGUAAGGCUAUUCUUUUUCAUCUUCUUUGGCAUGAAAUCUCAUAUUA